rnacentral:rRNA from 1 species
UACGUAGGGCGCAAGCGUUAUCCGGAAUUAUUGGGCGUAAAGAGCUCGUAGGCGGUUUGUCGCGUCUGCCGUGAAAGUCCGGGGCUCAACUCCGGAUCUGCGGUGGGUACGGGCAGACUAGAGUGAUGUAGGGGAGACUGGAAUUCCUGGUGUAGCGGUGAAAUGCGUAGAUAUCGGAAGGAACAUCAGUGGCGAAAGCGACUUCCUGGACCAGUACCGACGUUCAGGCACGAAAGCGUGGGGAGCAAACAGG